AGGACGCCGUGGUCCAGGAACAGGAGCUGCCCGGCGGCCGACUGGGCAAUGACCCGGUUCAGGGCCGGGCCGUUCUUC
rnacentral:tRNA from 1 species